rnacentral:tRNA from 1 species
AGCAGUGUGGCUCAGUGGAAAGAGUACGGGCUUGAGAGUCAGAGAUCAUGGGUUCGAAUUCCAACUUUGCCA